rnacentral:rRNA from 1 species
GUGAAGCGGGAAAAGCUCAAAUUUAAAAUCUGGCGGUCUCUGGCCGUCCGAGUUGUAAUCUAGAGAAGUAAUGCCCGUGCUGGACCGUGUAUAAGUCUCCUGGGAUGGGGCGUCAUAGAGGGUGAGAAUCCCGUCUUUGACACGGACUACCAGUGCAUUGUGGUAUGCUCUCAAAGAGUCGAGUUGUUUGGGAAUGCAGCUCAAAAUGGGUGGUAAAUUCCAUCUAAAGCUAAAUAUUGGCGAGAGACCGAUAGCGAACAAGUACCGUGAGGGAAAGAUGAAAAGAACUUUGGAAAGAGAGUUAAACAGUACGUGAAAUUGCUGAAAGGGAAACGCUUGAAGUCAGUCGCGUUGGCCGGGGAUCAGCCUUGCUUUUGCAUGGUGUACUUUCUGGUUGACGGGUCAGCAUCAAUUUUGACCGCUGGAAAAAGACCUGGGGAAUGUGGCAGCUUCGGCUGUGUUAUAGCCCCUAGUCGCAUACAGUGGUUGGGAUUGAGGAACUCAGCACGCCGCAAGGCCGGGUUUCGACCACGUUCGUGCUUAGGAUGCUGGCAUAAUGGCUUUAAGCGACCCGUCUUGAAACACGGACCAAGGAGUCUAACAUGCCUGCGAGUAUUUGGGUGGAAAACCCAAGUGCGUAAUGAAAGUGAAAGUUGAGAUCCCUGUCGUGGGGAGCAUCGACGCCCGGACCAGAACUUUUGGGACGGAUCCGCGGUGGAGCAUGUAUGUUGGGACCCGAAAGAUGGUGAACUAUGCCUGAAUAGGGUGAAGCCAGAGGAAACUCUGGUGGAGGCUCGUAGCGAUUCUGACGUGCAAAUCGAUCGUCAAAUUUGGGU